rnacentral:rRNA from 1 species
GUCUUUUUGAAAUAAUUUAAAGUYUAAUCUGCUCUAUGAAAUUUUUAAAUGGCUGCAGUAUUUUGACUGUACAAAGGUAGCAUAAUCAUUUGUUUCUUAAUUAGAAGCUAGAAUGAACGAUUUGAUGAAAAAAUAACUGUCUCAAUUAUAAAUUUAUAAUUUUAUUUUUAAGUUAAAAAGCUUAAAUAAUUUAAAAAGACGAGAAGACCCUAUAGAGUUUAAUAAAAUAAUUAAUAUUAAUUAAAUAAGAUUUAAUUAUUUUAAUAUUUAUUAUUUAUUUAAUUGGGGUGAUUUAAAAAUUUAAAAAACUUUUUAUAUAUAAAUAUCAUUAAUGUAUGAAUUAUUGAUCCUAAAUAUUUAGAUUAAAAGAAUAAAUUACCUUAGGGAUAACAGCGUAAUUUUUUUUGAAAGUUCUUAUUGAAAAAAAAGAUUGCGACCUCGAUGUUGGAUUAAAAUUAAAUAUGGGUGUAGAAGCUCAAUAUUUUAGUCUGUUCGACUAUUAAAAUUUUACAUGAUCUGAGUUUAAACCGGUGUGAGCCAGGUUGGUUUCUAUCUUUUAAUUAAAUAUAUAAUUUAGUACGAAAGGACCAAUUAUAUAAAUUAUAUUUUAAAGUUGAAUAUUAUUUUGGCAGAUUAGUGCUAUAGAUUUAGAAUCUAUAAAUAUAUAAAUUUUUAUAUAAAUAAUAUUGUUUUUUAAAGAUUUAUUUUUAAUUAUUAUUUCUUUUUUAUUUAUAGUAAUUUUUGUUUUAAUUGGGG